rnacentral:rRNA from 1 species
CUAAGUUUGAUGGCGACCGGCGCACGGGUGAGUAACACGUAUCCAACCUGCCGAUGACUCGGGGAUAGCCUUUCGAAAGAAAGAUUAAUACCCGAUGGCAUAGUUCUUCCGCAUGGUGGAACUAUUAAAGAAUUUCGGUCAUCGAUGGGGAUGCGUUCCAUUAGGUUGUUGGCGGGGUAACGGCCCACCGAGCCUUCGAUGGAUAGGGGUUCUGAGAGGAAGGUCCCCCACAUUGGAACUGAGACACGGCCCAAACUCCUACGGGAGGCAGCAUG